AGUCGAGCGGGUAGCACAGUAGAGCUUGCUCUCGGGUGACGAGCGGCGGACGGGUGAGUAAUGUCUGGGAAACUGCCUGAUGGAGGGGGAUAACUACUGGAAACGGUAGCUAAUACCGCAUAACGUCGCAAGACCAAAGUGGGGGACCUUCGGGCCUCAUGCCAUCAGAUGUGCCCAGAUGGGAUUAGCUGGUAGGUGGGGUAACGGCUCACCUAGGCGACGAUCCCUAGCUGGUCUGAGAGGAUGACCAGCCACACUGGAACUGAGACACGGUCCAGACUCCUACGGGAGGCAGCAGUGGGGAAUAUUGCACAAUGGGCGCAAGCCUGAUGCAGCCAUGCCGCGUGUGUGAAGAAGGCCUUCGGGUUGUAAAGCACUUUCAGCGGGGAGGANGGCGNUGAGGUUANUANCCUCAUCGAUNGACGUUACCNGCAGAAGANGCACCGNCUAAYUCNGUGCNAGCAGCCGCGGUWAUACGGAGGGUGCMAGCGUUAWUCGGAAUUACUGGGCGUAAAGCGCACGCAGGCGGUCUGUCAAGUCGGAUGUGAAAUCCCCGGGCUCAACCUGGGAACUGCAUUCGAAACUGGCAGGCUAGAGUCUUGUAGAGGGGGGUAGAAUUCCAGGUGUAGCGGUGAAAUGCGUAGAGAUCUGGAGGAAUACCGGUGGCGAAGGCGGCCCCCUGGACAAAGACUGACGCUCAGGUGCGAAAGCGUGGGGAGCAAACAGGAUUAGAUACCCUGGUAGUCCACGCUGUAAACGAUGUCGAUUUGGAGGUUGUGCCCUUGAGGCGUGGCUUCCGGAGCUAACGCGUUAAAUCGACCGCCUGGGGAGUACGGCCGCAAGGUNAAAACUCAAAUGAAUUGACSGGGGCCCGCACAAGCGGUGGAGCAUGUGGUUUANUUCGAUGCAACGCGAANAACCUUACCUGGUCUUGACAUCCACAGANCUUANCARARAUGCUUUGGUGCCUUCGGNAACUGUGARACAGGNGCUGCAUGNCUGUCNUCASCUCGUGUUGUGAAAUGUUGGGUUAAGUCCCGCAACGAGCGCAACCCUUAUCCUUUGUUGCCAGCGGUUAGGCCGGGAACUCAAAGGAGACUGCCAGUGAUAAACUGGAGGAAGGUGGGGAUGACGUCAAGUCAUCAUGGCCCUUACGACCAGGGCUACACACGUGCUACAAUGGCAUAUACAAAGAGAAGCGACCUCGCGAGAGCAAGCGGACCUCAUAAAGUAUGUCGUAGUCCGGAUUGGAGUCUGCAACUCGACUCCAUGAAGUCGGAAUCGCUAGUAAUCGUAGAUCAGAAUGCUACGGUGAAUACGUUCCCGGGCCUUGUACACACCGCCCGUCACACCAUGGGAGUGGGUUGCAAAAGAAGUAGGUAGCUUAACCUUCGGG
rnacentral:rRNA from 1 species